UGGGGAAUAUUGGACAAUGGGGGCAACCCUGAUCCAGCCAUGCCGCGUGUGUGAAGAAGGCCUUCGGGUUGUAAAGCACUUUCAGAUGUGAGGAAAGGUGAGUAGUUAAUACCUGCUUACUGUGACGUUAACAUCAGAAGAAGGACCGGCUAACUCCGUGCCAGCAGCCGCGGUAAUACGGAGGGUCCGAGCGUUAAUCGGAAUUACUGGGCGUAAAGCGCGCGUAGGUGGUUUCGUCAGUCAGAUGUGAAAGCCCAGGGCUCAACCUUGGAACUGCACCUGAUACUGCGGAACUAGAGUACGAUAGAGGGGAGUGGAAUUUCCGGUGUAGCGGUGAAAUGCGUAGAGAU
rnacentral:rRNA from 1 species